GACGAACGCUGGCGGCGUGCUUAACACAUGCAAGUCGAACGAUGAAGCCGGAGCUUGCUCCGGUGGAUUAGUGGCGAACGGGUGAGUAACACGUGAGCAAUCUGCCCUUGACUCUGGGAUAACUGCGGGAAACUGUAGCUAAUACCGGAUACGACACCUUGGGGCAUCCCAGGGUGUGGAAAGAAUUUCGGUCAAGGAUGAGCUCGCGGCCUAUCAGCUAGUUGGUGAGGUAAUGGCUCACCAAGGCGACGACGGAUAGCCGGCCGGAGAGGGUGACCGGCCACACGGGAACUGAGAACCGGUCCAGACUCCUACGGGAGGCAGCAGUGGGGAAUAUUGCACAAUGGGCGAAAGCCUGAUGCAGCAACGCCGCGUGAGGGAUGAAGGCCUUCGGGUUGUAAACCUCUUUUAGCAGGGAAGAAGCGAAAGUGACGGUACCUGCAGAAAAAGCACCGGCUAACUACGUGCCAGCAGCCGCCGUAA
rnacentral:rRNA from 1 species